rnacentral:misc_RNA from 1 species
CAACCCUCAAGCACCGCUUGGUUUUGGGGCCCUACAGCUGAUGUAGGCCCUCAAAGGUAGUGGCGGACCCUCCCGGAGCCUCCUUUGCGUAGUAACUUUACGUCUCGCAUUGGGAUCCGGAGGGACUCUUGCCGUAAAACCCCCAAUUUUCCAAA